rnacentral:tRNA from 1 species
GGAGAUGUCGCAUAGUGGCCUAGUGCGCUCGCUUGGAAAGCGAGUAUACCGCAAGGUAUCGUGAGUUCGAAUCUCACCAUCUCCGCCA